rnacentral:misc_RNA from 1 species
AAGACUAUAGACCUGCGGAGUACCUGCGGAAGGAUCAUUAACGUAUCUAUGAUGGGGUGCGGAGCGCCCUGCUCCGGUCGAACGGCCGUGCAGCAGGUGCGCCGCCCCCGUCCCACCUCACAAACCCACUGUGAACAUUCACCGGUGGAGGGGGCUCGGUCUGCGCCGUGUCCCCGAUGCCGAAUACCCAAACUCCAGUUGCAAAGAACGUCGUGCGGACUCGGUGCCGCCUAAAACAUG